rnacentral:rRNA from 1 species
AGAUUGAACGCUGGCGGCAUGCUUUACACAUGCAAGUCGAACGGUAACAGGCCGCAAGGUGCUGACGAGUGGCGAACGGGUGAGUAAUGUAUCGGAACGUGCCCAGUCGUGGGGGAUAACGCAGCGAAAGCUGCGCUAAUACCGCAUACGAUCUAUGGAUGAAAGCGGGGGACCGUAAGGCCUCGCGCGAUUGGAGCGGCCGAUAUCAGAUUAGGUAGUUGGUGGGGUAAAGGCGUCACCAAGCCAACGAUCUGUAGCUGGUCUGAGAGGACGACCAGCCACACUGGGACUGAGACACGGCCCAGACUCCUACGGGAGGCAGCAGUGGGGAAUUUUGGACAAUGGGCGCAAGCCUGAUCCAGCAAUGCCGCGUGCAGGAGAAGGCCUUCGGUGUAAACUGUCUUUGUACGGAACGAAACGGUCCGUGGUUAAUACGUAGGGCUAAGUGACGGUACCGUAAGAAUAAGACACCGGACUAACUACGUGCCAGCAGCCGCGUAA